rnacentral:snRNA from 1 species
GUAAUUUAUCCACGGACGUAUCGCUAACAAGCCGCUAGAAACUAUACAGAGAAGAUUAGCAUGGCCCCUGCACUAAGGAUGGUGAGUUCGAAUCUAAGCAUCGUCAAAACUUU